GGGUGGGGUGAAAAUGAUUGGAGUGGAGAGAAGGUUGGAGACCUUGCUCUGAAACUGGGAAAGCUCAUUCAUAUGGAGGCCUCCAGAGGGAAGCCCCAGACUUCAGUCAACCAGCCUACUGGGAUGACCAGGCCAUGAUGAAUGAAGGCCAUGGAACCUUCCCUGAUUAAUCUGGAUUCUCUGAGGAUUCUGACGGUGGAACUUGUACAUGGACUUUGAAGAGCAGCAACAGAUCUAAGAAGGAGUUCCUUCUGAAUCUGCCAAGUGGGGGCUUCAAGGACACAAAAUUUCAUCUAGAGAGAAAUAAUGGAAUGUGCCUAGGUGUUGUUGUAAGUGACCUCUCUAUUAAAACAUUUACCAUGUUGGGCUAUGA